rnacentral:rRNA from 1 species
AGUAGUUGACUCCGUGCUCGAGACGACGCUGGCGGCGUGCUUAACACAUGCAAGUCGAACGGAGUUUACAUGAAACCUAGUGAUUGUAAACUUAGUGGCGGACGGGUGAGUAACGCGUGGGUAACCUGCCUUAUACCGGGGGACAACAGUUAGAAAUGACUGCUAAUACCGCAUAAGCGCACGGUGUCGCAUGACACAGUGUGAAAAACUCCGGUGGUAUAAGAUGGACCCGCGUCUGAUUAGCCAGUUGGUGAGGUAACGGCCCACCAAAGCAACGAUCAGUAGCCGGCCUGAGAGGGUGAACGGCCACAUUGGGACUGAGACACGGCCCAAACUCC